CCCGCAGGUGAGGCCCUCUCCGAGGGCCUGGCGCACUCUUCGGUACCUGGCUGCCGCUGGACCUUGAGCCCUGAGAGAAGCGAAGCACACGUUCUAUGACCACGGGACGUCUCAAAAUAGGACUUAAGAGCCACAGUGACUUUGCUUAUUGAAAAGUAACUGGGCGGGGGGAGGGGUACGUGGAGAAAAAGAGGAAUGUGUGCGGGCGGGAGGACACCAAAAUCAGAAAGAGGUCCUCGGAGGGAGACUGAAGAAGAUUGCUGGAGUGUGAUUUCAGAAGAGAAGCAUGGUCUACUUAUUGAUGCCAUCAGAUAUAAAAUUAAAAGAAAGAAAGGUUCUACAAGUGAACUGGACAGAAGAUGUAUAUGUUGAGGCAGCAAUGGAACUCUUAUUUCUUAACUCAAGCAAAAGACCUGUGAGCCAUCCCCUGAUGGAAACCAGCAAGACCACCCCACAAGCAAUCAUGACUACUCUGAGGAAGAGCGCUGGAGGCCCCGAUCACCCGGGGCAGUUUGUGCUCAACCCCCAACUCACACCUGCUCUGCAGGUCCCUGGAGUGACUCAUGGAGUGCCCAGCACUUACCUUUAUCUCAUUAUAAUCCUAAAAUCUCUACCCAGGAGGAGCACAAGCCUCAUUUACAUAAUAUACAAUGCAGGUACAGGCAUGUUUCCUUAAGAUGCUUGCACCACUGAUGUCUGCCUCUGUAUAUGAAUGACCAGGCUUCCUGUUCUAAAUAUCCAUCCUACUCCUCAAUAAAAGGAACCCAUUCACAGAGAAUCUUGGCUUUUGGUUAUUCCUUGUGAUCUCCUUACCUGCUACAGAUAACCUUUGCUUUGUGUGACAGUCCCACCUACCAUAGUUUCUGUGACUCACCAAGGAGCAAACUCAUGUUCAUUCAGUGACACCAGCGACGUCAGAGAAUCAUCCCCUCUCCCCGGCCUGGCCUGCUCCUUGCAAACCUCCUC